GCCGGUGUAGCUCAGUCGGUAGAGCAACUGAUUCGUAAUCAGUAGGUCAGCAGUUCGAUUCUGCUCACCGGCUCCA
rnacentral:tRNA from 1 species